GUUGUAUUCUGCCCGGUAGUCCG
rnacentral:miRNA from 1 species